rnacentral:rRNA from 1 species
UAUUGCAUACCACCAUAAAACACACCAAGUCUUGUCAGACUUCAGAAGCUGAGUAGGGUCAGGCCUGGUUGACAUUGGGAUGGUGACCCCUUGGGAACAGCAUAGGUCUCCAAGGA